rnacentral:rRNA from 1 species
UACAGAGGGUGCAAGCGUUAAUCGGAAUUACUGGGCGUAAAGCGUGCGCAGGCGGUUCGUUAAGUUCGUUGUGAAAGCCCCGGGCUCAACCUGGGAACUGCAAUGGAAACUGGCGGGCUUGAGUGUGGCAGAGGGGGGUGGAAUUCCACGUGUAGCAGUGAAAUGCGUAGAUAUGUGGAGGAACACCUGUGGCGAAAGCGGCUCUCUGGACCACAACUGACGCUGAGGCGCGAAAGCUAGGGGAGCAAACAGG